rnacentral:rRNA from 1 species
AUGUCAUCUGGAACCACCAGGUUGCUGGCCUCCUCGCCGAGCCCCCCUUCAUGCAGCAGGUCCUCCCAGAAAUCAUCAUUUAGCUCUCCACUGGGCCUGCCUCUCAGUUGCUCCGAACGGCUGGAAGCGACACUCUGCUGCACCUCAGCUCCCUUUGUAUCGACGGACGAGCUUUCAAGAUCGGAUAUGACACCGUUCACGAGCGAGUCCACUGGCUCCUGCUGCUCAAACAUUACCUGUGACCCUUGCUCCAGGGUAGAGCCAGUGCCCAUGCUAUCGACAGCUUCAGGUCCCUGGUCGAUGCGGCGCCGUCUUUUAUUUGAGAUGGCAUCUUCGAGCUCCUUCCGCAUCUCACUCUGGGAGAGCAGAUGGUGUAUGAACAUGGGGUUCUGCAUGACUCGCGCCAAGAAUGACAUCAUCUGCUGUUGCUUCUGCUCAGUUCCUUGCAGCCUCUUUUCCAUGGCUUGCAGAUCUGACCUUGUGUUCUGUUGCUCCUGCCUGAGCUUCACCACUUCAGCCAUCAAGAGCUGCCUGUCUCUUUUCAAAUGA